CACAAAAUCAGACCUAAUGAUAGGUUCAGAAGGAAAAAGUCAUGGUUGGGAUUUGGAAUCCUUUGAGCCAACCAGUUAUCCACAAACAAGUCCAAGGCAUUUCUUUUGGUUUUCCCAGCAGGGCUUCCAGGACAGGGCUCUUGCCCGACAGCUGUCCUCCACUGAAGUCCACGGUCACUUCUAGAGUCAUCUGUGCCAGAUCAGAGGGAGGAGAACUCAUGAGGGCACGGAGCUCCAGGUUGUCCAUGAAGUCACAGACUGCGUGGAAAAGCUCUUCCCGGAGCGGAGGAUACUAGAUGUGGAACAAGGAUGACUGGACUGCUAUUCACAACACCAGGGAGGCUACCUGGAAAACAGGACCCCAAGAAAGACACGGGGAUCACCCAAUGACGGAGAAAUGGAUGAGAUCUACAUGAACAGCCUGGAUAACAUCCUCACAAUAGUCUGGUAAGCAUAAGCCAAGUAUUUCCUGAGUCCUGUGAGCCCUUAUGCAGAAUUAUUGAGCCUGCAUGGAGCACUGUGGAGAACCCUAUCAAGAGCCAAGCUGACAGAGUUUGGUCAUGUGCUAUCCGUGAUUGGUAUGUAGGGUUGAGAGAAGUCUGUGAAGUUGAGCACUUACCCCAUGGGGUCUGCACUAAUUCCAGGUAAGUAAUUUCAAAUUUCGAUUAUUUUGUAGGGUAAUAAGUCUGCAUAAAAUUGGAGGAUGGUUCAUUGUGUAAAGCGCACAUAGUGGUUAGAGAAGUGCUAUGAUCAGAGAAGCAGGUUACUUUGUAUCACCAAGUUGGAGACUUUUGCCCAUUUUCCACUGACAUAUUUUAAACAAGUAUCACGGUGCCUGCCAUCCAGGGAGUGCUCACAAGACCUGUCAACAGAAUGAAUGGGAAUAGAGCUUGACAUCCUUGUCCAUUCAAGCUUUUAUAACAUAACAAUGCAAACCAGGAGGCUUAUAAACCAAUGGUUUCAAAAGUUGGACAAUCUCAAGAUCCUGCUGCAGACGAAUUUGGUGCCUGGUGAGGUCCUGCUUUCCCACAGAUGUCUGUCUUCCCUCAGGUGGUGGACGGUGCCAUGGAUCUUUAAGGGGUCUCAUGAGAAGUCCACCUCUAUGACUUGAUACCCCCCAAAUCCUCACCUCACAAUACCCCUAUCUCUGCUCAGAGGCUUUGGCCUCCCAUGGGUCCCAGUCCUCUCAGAAUCACCACCUCAACAUCUGUUUUUUCCUUCUCAUCCAGUAACUUUCUGACUCUGUUCCUAGGAUACCUGCCUGAUGCUCCUGAAACAUCUUGCCACCAGAGAACUAAACAAAUGAGCCACACAUCUUACUAAGCCAUUUCCUAUGCUGCUCCAAGGACGGAAGACUCUGUGCCUCUCCUCAACUUGUUCUUCACUCUGUCUCCUGCGGUCCUAGAUUGAUGGAUUCUCUUCACCAGAAUGACACUUACCUGCCUGCACUUGAACUUCAGGUGCCCAGAGCCUCCGACUGAGAAUAUCCCCCAUGCUGAUUGGACCCUCUGACUUCAGAACUACUGGAGGACCUUCCAGCUCUCAGAGGUUUCUAGGAGGGAAAAUCAACUGGCCUGUCAUUAAAGAGCAACAAUGUUGCGAGCUGAGAACUCUGGGACCUGUAUGUACACAGGCCCUCAGUAAGUCCUCUAACAAUACCAUUCCUUCACAAACAAGUAUUUCCAAAGAACCUAUCAUGUCCUGGAUGAAGGCUCAACACAGAAGCACAAUUCUUUGACUUUGAAGAAUCAACACACACAGGUAAAGAGCAGCCUGUAGUCCUGCUUUUAGGAAGUGGACAUCAGUACCAGAGUUCAAAGGCAGAGGUGGCAAAGCCUGAUAAAGUUUCUUCCUUUCUCAAUGCCUGUGGCAAAGCUAGGCCAGGCACUUGGAUAUACAGUAAACCAGGCAGGGUUACUCUCUGGAAGUGUGAGGACUGAUUCUCAUCAACUCAAACGGACUCAGAAUUACCAUGGACCUCCUUACUAGCUAGCCUCCCUGGAGCUGUGGGUUGUAGUCUGGUUAUCAUUUGCUUUACAUCUAGUAUUCACUUAUGAGUGAGCACAUACCAUGUUUAUCCUUCUGAGUCUGGGUUACCUCACUCAGGAUGAUUUUUUUCUAGUUCCAUCCAUUUGCCUGCAAUUUCAUGAUGUCAUUAUUUUUUCCAUGACUGGAAAAAGUAGAGACAGCUAGCCCAACUAGUGGAAAUGCAUGAACUGUGGAACAAUAGCUGAGGAACCCCCAUAGUACUGGACUAGGCCCUCUGGAUAGGCGAGACAGUUGUUUAGCUUGAACAGUUUUGAGGGGCCCCGGGCAGUGGGAUCGGAACCCAUCCCUAGUGCAUGAGCUGGCUUUUUGGAACCUAGUGCCUAGGGUGAGACACUUGUGCAGCCUUGGUGCAGGGAG